rnacentral:lncRNA from 1 species
UUUUUUUUUGUGUUGUGUGGUUGGUUGGUUCAAGUUGGGGUAUCUCAGUUGCGAGAGUUGCUAAUAAUAGAUGUGAUGUUCCUCGAAAGAAAAUAGAUGUGAUGACCUUUCUUCUGUAGAAUUUUGCAUUUUAUUUUUAGAAAUAAAAGGUGGAGAAGUUGGCGUGAUGCACACAUGUCCGAUGAUGAUAGACGAUCGUUUUAUUUGGGGGAGAGUUUUUAUUGCCUUUGAGUAGAACCAUCGUGUGCUAUAUAUGCAAAACAAAGUCUUUAGGAAGUGAUUUGUAUCACGGAUUUGAAUUGUAUGCCCAAUACUAUGUUGUGUAGCCUUCCUUUGUCAUUUCGAUUAUAAGCAAAAUAAUAUAUCACACUCUGCAUUUGUUGGUUUCCGCUUUAAAAACAAGGACAAUUCAAAAAUGGCAGAACGGUUCGUAGAGCACACAACAGGUUUAUUUAUAAAAAAUGCAUUGAUAGAUGAGAGGUUCCUAUUGCGUAUCUAACUACCUGUUGGUGCCAACUAAUUAGAUGCUUUACUUUUAAAAUUAUACGAAAGCUCAUACAUAAAGGAGCAGCAUGUCGAUCGACCUUUGUGACUGUUACAUUCAUCUUAUUUAUCCUGCCACCUGUUUGAGUCGUUGACAUUUUUGGCUACUUUUCUAUAGCCCAAACAAAAGUCAGAUGAAAGCAUCUGCUGUUUAUUUAGUUGCUGGUGGAAAUUAAUGGCUGCAUGCUCUGUUCAUUCAAUUAGAUAGAUCGAUGCAAUAUUGUAGAUUCUCUGAAGUCUGCUCUAGCUUCUUUAACAUGCAUUACAGUCUUCUUUGCUGAUUUGGAGUUAGCCUGUUGGUGGUCCAAUAUAUUCCAAUAGAAAGUGCUCAGGAAAAAGAGAACUGCAUAUUCACUUUAUCUCUUCAAUGUACAGAACUGAGUGAACCAUGUAAAUUUUUAAUUAUUGCUCAAAAACUUGGUAUGCUAGGCUUAAUGCGACACCGGCCUUGUUCUGUCAUUCUGUACAAAUUGUAUUUAAGCAGUAGAUUUCUUUUCUGGCUUCUACUGUUUUUAUUAAGAUAACAAGUUCCUGCUUCUACUACCUGCUGGAUUAGUUAGCUUUUUUUCUUUUGUUGAUGCAUAGCCUAAAUAAAAGAUGGAUUAAGGCAUUUUUGUCUAAGAAAUUGUGAUGCUUACCAUGCUCAUUCAGAAUGCAUAUCUUCGUGAGGAGCCCCACCGGCAGAACAAUCCGCCUCCGGGUCCAACCAUCAGAUACCUUGCGUACCGUUAAGGCGAAGAUUCUCGAACAGCACCGCCUUGUCUUUGAUGGAGAGCAGCUAGAUGAAAACCUUACAUUGGCUGAUUAUGACAUCCAGCAUCAAUCCACGCUUGACCUCCAAGAAAAGAUGCAAAUCUAUGUAAUGGAGACGCUAAAAGGCAAGACCAUCACACUCGAGGUUGACAACUUAGAUACUAUUGACAACGUGAAGAGCAGGAUUGAAUAUACCGAGGGAUUUCCCAAGGGUCAGCAGUGCCUCAUCUUCGACAACAAACAGUUGGACGACAGCAGCACCUUGGCGGACCACAACAUUUGGAAGGAGUCCACCGUUCUCCUUGUCCUCCACCCAUUUCCAAGAGGUACGAUGCAGAUCUUUGCGAAGACGCUGUACGGAACAACCAUCCCUCUUGAGGUUGAGAGCUCAGAUACAAAUGCUGUCAAGCUGAAGAUCUACGAGAAGGAUGGCACUCGCCCCAAACAGCAUCGCCUCAUCUUUGUUGGCAGACAAAUGGAGGGCAGCCGCACCCUGGCAGACUAUAACAUCCAGCACCAAUCUACCAUCCAUGUGGUGCUCUGCCUUUGCGGUUGUUGAGAUAUUUAUAAUGAUCGCUGAAAAGUACACGAUCUUGUGCUUAAUCGUUUUUCUUUCUUCCUGGCGCUUCGUCGCUCAUAAAGACUUCCUCUUUAUCAUGGCACAAUCUCAUGCGGGUUUGUUAAAAAAAAAUCGCUGAAGACAGAUCUGGUUCUGGUGCAGCCUUGCAGGCCAUAAAACUUAUUUGGUUUCAUCUGCUGAUGCUUGCUAUGAUCCUGUAAUAAUGUGUUUAUCAUAAUGCACAGUGUUCCCUGCAUUACAAAUUUGUACUUAAUUUUCUUGCUUUGUCCUUAAAAUUACUCUUUUCCUUUAUUUUCUGCAAGAUGUGUAAUUUAUAUCUACAAGAUUUUGAAAUAGAUGAAACUUCUCGGAAAUAAUUUGUAAUUUUCAUUUAUAUUUUCAUUGAUUACUGGAGAUGGAUCUGGUGCACACGAUAAAAAUUUAUAUGUUCCAUAUGCUGAUGGCUGAUGCGGGUUGUAAAGAGCAACUCCAAGAGUUCCCCAAAAAAUUCUUCCCAAAAUGAGAUAUUGGGAGCUAUGCUAAAAAAUUUUUCCCCAAAAAACAUAUUAGCCCACAGCAGAUCGCUAAAAACUACUCCCCAAUAAUUUAAAAGAGGCCACGUCAUCGCAUUAGGCCCAUUAGUAUCCGUUGAUUUUUACCGUGUCCAGAGCCCAUCAAAAAUACUCCUCCGUACCCUAUCACGCCACCUGCCCGUGCGCCAGAGGUCUCACGCCGCCACCCCCGCGCACGGUGGACUUCAGCAGCCCCUGCACGGCAUUCCUUGCCGGCAUCAUCCUCCGUGCACUGCGCGGAUCAAAGUAAUGAUUACUGCCUAGCAUCAUUUUCAUUUUGUUUUUUUGUUGCGAUCAGCUUUGACAUGUGAGGAUUCUGUCGUAAUGUGUUUUUAUGUGGCUGUCAAUACCUAGGAAAAACAGUUCCUUCGAUCUCCAACUAUAAUUGGAGACAGGUAAAAAGGAAUUGCUAUGAAUCGAAGCCUUUCGAUGCAUCUAGUGUUGGAUUCGUCGUCAGAUGAUGACGAUGAUGAUUUCUUAAUCUCUGUUACUCAUGUGACCGUGAAUGCGAAUGAGUCCGAUGAUGAAACAAAACAUCGUGGUUCUAUCAUAGGUCAUCGAGUACUUCAGCGAGACAGACAGGCAGGGCAUCAAACAUGAUAGUAAUUAAGUACUAGACAUAGAUAGUCGACUCAUGAUCUCAGCGCGCAAGGACAUGUAGUAUUUCUUUUGCUCAUCUGGCAUGGCGGUAAGAUCCAUGGUCAUAAUCCUCUCUUCAUCCCUCCUUUUUUGCAAUUGGACCUCCUGGCUCCUCAACUCAAGAAGUAGUUUUUCAUUUGCAACUCGAUCCUGUUCAAGAGCAACUCGUUCUUGUUCAAGAGCGAAAGCUUUGUUGAACCUCUCCUCUUUUUUUAGCUCUUUCUCCCCAUCAGUUUCUUUCUUCUGUGCCCACAUAUUUUCUAAGGUUGUUGUCACACUUUUUUUCUUCUCUUGCAGCAGUGCUAGUUUUGCCUUCUUCUUACCAAUCGGCCUUGUCAAUGCAUUAUCCUCUAGACCUUGAACCUCACCUUGUCCUAUUUCACUUGGUGAACUUGCAUUCGGGUCAACAGUUGAGCUUGUCUUCUGCUUCUUGUUAGAUGUUUUACCAACAGCCAAUUCAUCAAUUUUAGAAAGCCAUUUUGGUUGUGUUCUCAGCUUAUUCCAGCAAUGCAUGAACUGGAAUGCUUUCUGAUGUUCGUCUUCAGACUUGUACAAAGCACAUGCCUCUGCAACCUACAAGCACCACCAUACAAGAAAUAUUCAUAUACGAUAUAUAAAAAUAAAAUAGUUGAAACAAAUCGUGGUAUUGCAUAGUAAGUACCUUGUCUUUCAUUGUACUACCACUCUGACGCCUUAACUCAAUUCGUGCUAGACAUCCACAAAACUUGUUCACACAUUUUUGUAUGGUCUCCCACCGGUGCAUGAGAGAAUUUAUGGUACGCUUUGAGGUGCACGUCUUGUGUUCAUGGAAGUAAUCACAGAUACGAGACCAAUACUUGGCACCUUUUUGAUCUUUGCCUACGACCGGAUCCAAGCUUACAUUCAACCAUGCUGAAACCAAAACCUCAUCUUCGUGGUCACUGAAGUUCUUUGAUCUCUUAUGGUUCGGCCUUGCGGAGGGGGCUGCUGGACCAACUUCAAUUGCUUGGGAUUGUUGGUCACCACAUGUGUUGCUAUAAUAAUGAGAAUCCCCUAAAUUGGUUUCAUCCAUCAUCAUGUUGGAAAAAUAUCCGUUUCCUGCCCAGUAGGUAGAAAAUAAACAUCAAGUGGUAUAUGGAGGCUACACAUAUAAAAACUUGCUCAAGUGGCAUAUUUUAUCAUGCCAACAAGAUGGUGACUACAUGCUAGGAGCCAACUAGUCAGCUAGCUAAGUCCCUAAAGUGAAGGGAAUAUGAGCCAACUAGUCAGGAUCACAGCUGAUUUUAGUAUUUAUAACUCAUCUUAUGAGAAGCAAUGAAACUGUUCCUUGUUCCUACUUCCACUUAACCACAUACCCUUUAGUUUUGCUUCACAGCAUAGAACCAAGUUUCUUUUCAAAGUAAUACAGUUCAUUCACAUGCCUGCAGCUCAAUUAUGAAGUCGACAGUACAAAGCUUGUACAGAACAAGAAUUACAAGGAACAAGGCCCCCAUCGGCGCCAACGCUAUCAUCCACAUGUGCACAGGCUAUACAUUGGCCAUGGAGCAGUAGUAGAAGCAGAACAAGGAACAGAGAGGGAGAUGUCGUUGUUAGCUUGCUUUAAUUUUUAGCUAAGCCAAGUUCGUUAGCUGGAUGAGAUUAGCAGGCUUUAAUUUUUAGCUAAGCCAAGCUACUGCACUGAAUUGAAUAGAUCAAGAUACUAACUAGCUACAGGCCAACGCAAGCAUGCAAAGACUAAAAAGUCUACUGUUGCCGGACAGAGACAUUUCACAUGAAUUCAACCGAGCUGAGAUGCUGACCCUUCAGACAAAUAGAAAUAGCAACAGUGCAACUAGCAAGCAAAUGAGAACACUUGGUUGUGAGCUAAUCAGAUCUGAGAAACAAAGCCAAGCUGGUGGCCACACAAUUAAUUGAAAACUGAACAAAUAACAACAGUUGCUACUGUACUGAAUCGAACUGCCUGAAGCUCUGAAGAAAAGCAAUAUGAUAAUACAAGCUAAGGUUAGUUGCCACAUUAUCUUCAAUCAAUGCAAAAUCCUUCUAUAGGCAAAACAAAGCCACUUAGAAUUGACUACACAGCACAAGAAAUCUAUCUUAUCUCACGGGGAAUUGAGUUAAAGAGCUUAUGAUUCAUACCAUUCACAAAUGGGUUGCCGUUGGCCGCUUGUUCGAAAGCACCAGAAGGGCCGCCGCUGGAUGGGUACGGCACCGUCGAUAGGGAGUCCAAAUCAUCACUGGUAAGAGCUACAAUCGGAGGACCUUGCAGAUCACCACACAUGUCACCACUACCAGGCAGGUCGAGGUCGUCGCUGCUGGACCUCUCCAAAUUUCUGCUGCUGCUGUUCCAUUGAGGGAUGUGGUCGCCGCCGACGAGCACCACACGCCGUUGAAGCAUCCCUCCACUGCGCCUUACUUGGCCCUGCCGUGGUGCCUGCAUCUGCACAGGCAACAAAGAGUUCAGGCACGUCCAAGCGAAGAUAUGCAGAACAAUAUCAGCAAUGCAAGUUAGCUCUGUUCCACAACACCAUUGUAAUAUAUUAGUUGUAUUAUGGUUCCAUCUAAUAAAAUAAAGUAAGUUCAUUGUUGAUAUGAAAUAUUCUUAACUUAUAUGGCCUUCAGUUUAGACAAAAAAGAGCAGUAAAUUGUUUACACCAGUCACCUUCUUACACCAGUCAUCUCAAUAUCAUCAUAGUAAUUACUUUAUAACACCAAUGCAUUAUCUGAAUGAUAGUGCACCAAUUUCUAUUGCUGAAUUCAACGGCAUAAGGAAAAACAAAGACUCAGUCAGCUAUCCCUUAUUGAUAGGUUUUAGACUACUUCUAAGUUCAGUUAGAUAUGACACAUAGAUGUAAGUUAACAAAAGUUCAAUAUAAAUAUAGUUCUGUUGCUAAUUUCAUAAGUAGUGUUCGAGAUCACAAGGCUAGAAUGUCUUGUGCUCAACACUAGUGAACACCACUGUCUAGGUAUCUGUUGCUUGCUAAGUUCAGCAGCAGAAGCAAAACAACAGUUCAGUCACUUAUAAGCAAAGAUCACGCUGAACAGUGAAGAUAAUGCAAGUUAGUUCUGUUCCCACGACUCAUGGUACUCCAGAUCUGGAAUGAGGGGUUUACCCUGAGGCGCUCGGAGAGGACGGAGGGGGUGAUUAGCUUGUACUUGGGCGCCUCGGAGAGCAGCUUGUCGUAGGUGGCCUGGUCGAACAGCACCGAGUUCUUCACCUUCUCCUUUUGCUUUCCCUUGCUCCACUUCUGCAAAAACAAAUAAGCGCAUCCACCAUUAGAACCCCAGAGAUGGCAGCAGCCCUGACUGUACGAAGAGACGAGCGAGUCGGAGAGACAGCCGCACCUUCUUCUUUUGCUUGCCACCGCCGCCUGGAACCCGGACUCUUGCGCAGGGGAGGAGAGGAGCGUACCGCCACCCAACGCUCGCCGUCCACCGGGAUGCCGCCCCGACCUGCCGCCGCCUGGCCCUCGCCGUCCACCGGGACGCUGCCGCGGGCCGCCGCCGCCGCGUAGCGCUCGUCGUCCACCCGGCCGACGCCCCUCACCCCGCUGCUCUCCUCGCCGCCGCCGCUACGCGCGCGGGAAGAGGCCGCACGGGGAAGGAAUAUCUGCUCGCGCGCGCGGGAACGGGUGGGCUCACGCGCGGGAAUCGCGAUUGGGGGAGAAACGGGAACGCUAAAAUAUACAUGGUGGUAGGUUGUUUUUUAGCGUUGCUAAAAAAUUAGGGAAGGUUUAGGUGUACUGUUGGAGUUUGUUUUUUCUCUUUUUUCCCCAAAAAAAGUAUUAGGGGGUAAGAUUAGCAGUCUCUUGGAGUUGCUCUAAUAUCCUUUAUCCUGCUUCCUUUUUUUAACCAUGCCAGGAUAGAUUUUGGCUCACAACUGUUGUACACCCACAAAACAUAAGCAAAAUGCAUCAUUUGCUUCAAAAUUUCUAGGACUUCUGGACCUACCAUCACAAUUCAAGUUAGCGAAUGAAUCGGCACCGAGUUCUUCCGGACGACUUUUCAUGCGUAAUUAGUCUGUAUAGUACAUUAGGAGAAAAAAAGGAUGGACAUUGGAAUAAUAACACGUGGCUGUCAUGGAGACUACGCAGAGAGAGAGAGAGAGUAGAAUUUAAUUGGAAAUUUCUUGUGAAAGCUAUGGCAAUAACCUGUAUAGCAACUGACAGGCGUUCAACUAAGAGGGCUGGAUCGAAAUGCAUGGACAAUGAUGGUUUAGUUUACUCAUUGUUGGAUCCAUGAGCUGAAGUUUAGUUCGGAUCGCAUCAGAUAUUGGAUGCUAAUUAGGAGUAUUAAAUCUAGACUAAUGAUAAAAAUAAUUGCAUAAAUGAGGGCUAAUUCACAAGACGAAUCUAUUAAGCCUAAUUAAUCCAUAAUUAGCAUAGCUUCCUUGCCAUCCCACCUACACACCACAUCUAUCUAUAUAGGGGAUGCUAUCCUUUUGUAUUAACUCAUGAAAGACCCUUUAAUCCGGGUUGGUAAUACCAACCGGGAUUAAAGACCUCAUUUAAUCCCGGUUGGUAAUACCAACCGGGAUAAAAAGGUUCGAGGGAUUUAGUCCUUUCCCAGCCACACAUGGGGGAACCUUUUUAUCCCGGUUGGAAAUACCAACCAGGAUAAAAAGGGUCCGAGGACUUUAUUCUUUUUCAGCCACCCGUAGGGGACCCUUUUAUCCCGGUUAGAGUUUCCAACCGGGAUUAAAGGAUCCCCUUUUAUCCCGAUUGCUUUAGUCCCAGGUGGUAAUACCAACCGGGACUAAAGGGUGACCUUUUAGUCCCGGUUGAUCUUACCAACCCGGACUAAACGGUCCCCCACGUGUGCCUGGAUUUUUCAACCGGGACUAAAGGAUUCCCACGGAUGGCUGAUUUUUGAACCGGGACUAAAAGGUCCUUUUAGUCCCGAUUGCAAAUACCAACCGAGAGUAACUUGUAGCGCACCCCUUUUCUCCCGAGCUGAAAUUAAACCGAAACUAAAGAGGUGGUAUCUAAAGUCAGUUCUAACAUUAUAACACUUUGACGGUGGUGUAGCGUACGACGCCGCGCUAGAGCCGCUGGAAGCAAUCAUGCGAGCUGACUGAGGACGUCAUAGUCGGUGUCGAGUUAAGGAUGAAGUUUAUCGCAGACGCUGGAGCCGCGCAGGACCUCGCAGAUCAACAGUCAUCUGUCAGGGCACGAUCAACAGUCUAAACAACUGUCAUCUGUAAGUGUUUUGAAAAUCACACAUAGAGUGUUUUAACAGACAUCUUUAUACAAUGACUUGUCUAUUAUCUGUAGAUCAUUUAAUUCGUAAAGGGCACAUAGUUUAUGGUGAUGAAGUUCAUCUUUGUAGCUAUUUUGUUGCUUGUUUUGAUCUUAAAUUUCUUGUUGAGAUACAAAUAUAAUAUAAUUUUUGUUAAUAGAUAGAAUGAUAUUAUGAUUCACUAAAGUACAAAAUACAUAAUAUAAAUCGUAUGUUUUUACAUAAAAUGAUGGAUUCGAAGACUAACAUUCAAAAACAUUUGACAUUCAGAACUCUGGCCUGGAGGCCACGCGUGCUCUUGCUUAUACCAGUUAUCAUGCCGUUCAGCCAGCAAAGCAUGUUCAUUGUAUACCUUUUCCUCUCUCACCUUAUCCUUUCACAUGAGCCCAAGCCCACCCGUCUUCUCUGUUUCUAAUCUCUCUCUCUACCUCGUGUGCUUGGCUCGCUGUGCAUCGUGAUCUUGCUUGGGAACAAACUUUGCGCUGCUUCCCCUCACACAUAUAUAUGAGCCACAGGCUCUCGCUCGACGGACAGGUGGCUCUCGCUCACACAUAUGCUUCCCCUGUAUCUCCCGCUCUUUCACAGUCGCCCUUUGCACUCGAGUCAGCGUGAUGUGGAUGACAGAGCGGCCCGACGAGGUUGCCUAGGUGGGGUGCGGCGGGGUGCUGCCGGCGAAGGUCGGCUCAGCUCGAUGCAUCUAUCGGUGCAUGGCAGCGCGGCGUGGUGCGGGAGGAAGGGUGCGGCGGGUUGUUACCGGCGAGGCGAGGCUCAAUGCUUCCAUUGGUGGUAGCGCAGCACGGAUUUGUCUAAUUUCACAGUGGAUUCCGAGCCGUCGGCCACCGCUCAUACAACAAGCAUGAGGUUGUCCGCAGCGCGUCGGAGCACGAGCCGCGCCGUCGUCUUGCGUCCCUCUCUCUCCUUUACCACUGAUCCGCGUCAACAAAACAAGCCUACGUGGCAUCAUAUAAAAAUGGCAUUAAUUGCCUUUGUACGUGCCUUAGGCCUCCUCUGGCAUGGGCCUCCGGCCGCAGGGGCGGGCCCACUUAUAUUCAAUGGUAUUGAGUUGAAUAUUCAUUAUUUUUGAAAAAAAGUUCAUGUAUAUAGUGUAUUCUAGUUAUAUGUAUGGAAAAAGCAAAAAUAAAGAAGCUAACACAGUGAAACAAAAUAAAAAGGCCUACCGGCGGACAUCUUCCCUCUCGGGCUCUCCCUGGCCCAAUUUGCCACUCGGCCCACUCGGCCUCUCUAAUCAGCCAGGCCACGCACAACAGAGGGCACAGGCACCAGUGCACAGCACGCACAAACCACACAUCCUGACAUCCACAUCCAGGCGCCUCUGCUUCAACCCUAGCCGGCGGUGGCCGGCGGGGAGGGUGGAGCUCGGCGAUGGGGAGGGGGAGGGUGGAGCGCCGGAGCUCGAGGCUUGCGCCGCUGCGCGGAGCUGCGGCGGCGGCACCGCGGAAGCCGCGCCACCUACUGGACGUGGACGGCCGGGCGCCGGGCGGCCGGCGCUACUGGACGGCCGGCGGGCGGCGCCGCGGCGGCGCGCUCCGUUGCGACCCGCAUGGCCUCCGUGUGGCACGUGACCGCGUCCCCGACUCCCCGUGAUCCGUCCCCGACCGCGUGGCCUGCUUGAUUAGAGAGACCUGAUUCCUUUAAUUGUUUGUGAAAUUGUCAAAUUGAGGUUAGCAUGUAGCAUAUAAUUUUUCUCUGUUGUGAGCGAAGCAGCAUCCUGUGCACUUUUGUGAUCAUUCAUGUCUACUAGCAAACAUGUUGACCAUUUAGGCCUACCUUUUCCAUUAUCGUUGUGACUAGGCAGCUAGUAGCACAUUGAUGUUUCUUGCAGGCUAAAAACUGUUAUCAAAUACUAAUCUUCGAGAAUCUGUUGUCAUUAAUAAUUCCUCAACUGAAACCAAUGGGUCGCCCAACAUUUUGAAAGGGCUGGGCAGCUGGCAAUCAGGUGUUCUAUGCAGAACUGCAGCUAAUGUAUGCCCUGUUUUCUAUAUUGUAUAUCAUUAGCUGUGAGAUCUAAUUAAAAAAAUUGAAAAGCUACAAUUGAAAGGUUAAGAAGAUUAGCUGUGUGAUAUAUAGUCAUAGAAAAUAUGGGUUUACACCAACACAUUUUGAUUUAGAUCUGCCAGAUAUGUUUCAUAUUGUGUGCCUAAUGUUCUGCUAAUGUUGAUAGCAAAGCACUCUCAUUUUGAUUACCAUUUUGUUGUUUUAUCCUCUAUUUAUUUCACAUGUUGCCACUUUGAUAUGUUGACCAUUAGUAGCUGGACAAUUUCAAGUUGUGAUCAAUUUAUUAAUCAAUGAUGGUACCACUUAAUUCUGUGUUAUAAAUCUAUAAUUUAGGCUGUCAAUUUUUUUUUUCUUGCCAUCUGCAAUUUUAAAUACCCAUGAUCCAAAUCCUGCGCCCGCCUCUGCCUUGCACAAACGUCACAAACUGGGCCUCGUCCGUCGGAGCCAAUGUCGAGGCUCCAAAAUCUGAGACUUUGACGGUGUAGUCGUCGUCGAUGAGUAUGUUUGCCGAUUUCACGUCGCCGUGGAUGAUCGGCGGCGAGGCCCAGGAGCGCAGGUAAGCGAGGGCUUCCGUGGCCUCGUGCGCGAUCUUCAGGCGCGUCGCGAAAGAGCCGCGUGGCCCGUGGUUGUGACGGCCGUGGAGAGCGUGCCGUUGGGGAUGAACUCGUAGACGAGCAUGGGCACCUCCACCUCGAGGCAGCAGCCGCAGAGCUUGACGACGUUCCUGUGGUUGAUCUGGGAAAGUAUGAGCAUCUCCUUCCCGAACUCCUCCUCCUGCCUCUCGCUGAUCUGCCUUGUAGACGGUGCCAUUCCCUCCCUUGCCCAGCACAUUUCGCUCGUUGAAAUUAUCAGUUGCCUCUUCAAGCUCUGCUUUGGUGAACAAAGUGAAGGAAAUCCCCUGUUUUGAUUUCAUUUCCUCCAACAGCAAGAGGCCUCCGUGCUGCUUGAAGUACCUCUUCUUCACAGCGGCAAGGCUCCUCUUCCGGUGGAACAGGUAGGCUCCAGACAGGUAAUUACCAGCUAGCCUGCUAAUUUGAUUGUAAUCCAGCUCUAAUCCACACCAAUCCACGUCAAGUUAAUUUAUUUUUUCAACCCAACUCAUUCUAUAUUUAUAUUAUCUAAACUUAAGCCAAUUCAUCCUACUAGUUGAUAGAACCAUAGGUUUGCUAUAAAAAAAAUCAUGGUUUGCUAUAUAAAUCUAUGGGCUCAUAUAAAAAACUUGUAUAUAUUUGAAAUAAAUGUGUGUCCGACAUGUGGGUCCUACGUCAAGAGCUGAACUCUAAAACUAAAACAUCGUGUUCACACCUUAAAAUUUUAACGAAAUUGAUCGAAAUUUAUUGGAGUUGACAGAGUUUGACUGCCCGCUACUUUGUGCUAAAUAGUAUGGCUAAACAUACAUUUAGGCCCCGUAUUAAGAGCCGGACCCUAGAAUUAAAACCUCACGUUCACACCUUAAAAUUUUAACGAAAUUCAUCAAAAUUUAUUGGAGAUGACUCAAUUUGACUGUCCACUACUUUGUGUAAAAUAGUAUGACUAAACAUACAUAUGGGUCCCGCGUCAAGAGCCGGACCAUAGAAUUAAAAUCUCGUGUUCACACUUUAAAAUUUUAGCGAAAUUGAUCAAAAUUUAUUGGAGAUGACUUAGUUUAAGUGUCCGCUACUUUGUGCAAAAUAGUAUAGCUGGGCAUAUUUAUGGGCCCCACGUCAAGAGUCGGACCAAACUACAACCUCCCUUUCACACUUUAAAAUUUUAACGAAAUUGAUUGAAAUUUGUUUCACACUUUAAAAUUUUAACAAAAUUGAUUGAAAUUUGUUGGAGAUGAUUUAGUUUAAUAAUUAGCUACUUCAUACGAAAAAGUAUAGUUAGACUUAUAUGUGGGCCCACAUUAAGAAUCGGAUCCUUAAAUUGUUUGGUGAAUCAAAUCAAUGCAACCCACUCUAAACCACUCCCAAACUAUUUCCUCCUAGGAGGAACCCAAACCAAACCAAACCAUUUGAUGAAUCAGCAUAUUAAUAACCAAUCUAAAUAUUCAAAAGAAAUCCAAUCCAUUAAAAUCAUUAAACCCAGUUCAAUUAGCAGGGCCCAUGCUAGCAUAACUAUGGCCAUGCUAACAGCCGUAGCAAGGUCGCAGGAUCAGAUGUUGUCGAGCAGAUGAGAUGGUAAUUGAGGUAACGGAGAUGACGACUUACCAGGCAAAAAAUCAUAUAUUUUUUUUGUCGGGUUUCAUUUCAUUUCAAAAGGAUCAUAAUGUGUUUUAUGGGGUCAUCUGGUGCAAUAGUAUGAUCCUAUAGUAUUAUGGCAUACUCCUCCGCAGAUGCCUGGUUUUAGGCACUCAUCAAUAUCUGCAGCAACAUCAUACUUUAGUGAUACAGAAAUUAACAAAAUGAAGACGAUACCAACUGUCGAGACUUCAGUGUUUCUUCAGAUAACUAGAAAUCUCCAUGUUUAGGUGCCGUUCCAGCUCUCAGUAGUUUUUUUCUCCUUUGCGAUGAACCUAGUUUGGUUUGUAAGUUUGAUAGUUUGUUUCUCACUAGCCCUUUCAGUUUUUUUCCCCUUUUCCAUGGUUGUAAGACUCUGUAUUUUUUCCCACUCUCUCUUAAUGAGACGUGCUAUGCACAUUCUCGAAAAAAAAGAGAAAUCUCCAUGUUAAUUGGAGAGGAGAGCAAUAAAAUAAAGGAAAGUUUAUGCAAACUAGUUUAUGGAAAGUUUUUGUUUUCAUCAGUAAUCCACAGUGAAUUUCAGUUUGUCACUGUUCUUCCUAAAACGCGGACCCAAGCCCUGAUUUGUCAGUGAGAAAUCCUAUUGCACGGCUGGAAAAGAACACCAUGUAGUGGCAAAAACAUAAAUUGCAUGUAAAUAAUUAAAGACAGAAAACAGUUCUAUUCUCGCAUCCAUUGUCUUAUUCCCGUACGUUAGUGAUAGUAGAAACGCGUGAUGUUUCAGGCAUUGUUCAGUGAAGUAUGACAAAAGUCAAAAUAAGGAAAAAAAAGAUUCUACCUCUGCGGAAAGCCUAAUAGUUUAAGAGAUCUGACAUGCAAGAGUUAGUACUGAGUUGUGAGUAUUUUCUCUUCAGUAGCUUAAUGAUUUUUCAGGCAUGGACUUGAUUCAUGCAUCAUAUAACACUGUCUCCGAAGAAUGUUAUAAACUUGAAAAUGUCAGAAAAAUUACGACCUAGAGCAUAAUAUGAAUCUCCAAGACCAAACGAUAAAGAUCUCUAUUGUUGAGAAUGGUUAGGAUAAAUAAUGAUCUCCAAGACCAAACGAUAAAGAUCACUAUUGUUGAGAAUGCGCGCGCGCACAGACACACACGCAGAGAGGGAGGGAGGGAGGGAGCGAACCUUGACAGCCAUUCGAUGUAUGUGGAUUCCCAUUAAAGCCUGGCAUACAUUUGCCUCCUGACAGGUCAGAUUGGCAGCAGCCCAUUGCACAGAGGAUGGUUCCCCCGAACCGAUAUAGAGGGGGGUUCCUUUGGUCCAGAUCGGGCGUGGGCUGGAGAUUCAUGGACUCUGUCGUCCUCAUCAGUCGUCAGGCAGGCGCGGGAGGCCGCCAUGCUGGAGGCUGGACGGCGAGUGUUCGCCGGUCGACGGCGCGGGAUACCUCACCGCUUCAUCGUUGCAAGACAUGCUCGCCCGAAAAGUAGGCCCGGGCAGGGAGAUUGGCCGGCCGGCUGGCUUCGGCAGCUGCGCGAGGUGGCCGGCCGUCGGCAAGCACUUCAAAUAUGAGCUCAGCAGCAGGGCGAACCAUGAAGCUAGAAAAAGGCCAAUCAGACGAGCGUCUCCAAAGAUCUCAAAUCACGAAUCACGGCCGGGUUAGGGGAUGCGAUCGAGAAAAAAUGCGUUGGAUUAGGGAGAAAUUAAAGGCCGAGUUCGAUUUUAUUUUGGGAAGAGGGAGGACUCCAAUCGGACCGAAUGGAGAAUCGGACAUGUGUCAUCACCAAGGAACGUGCAAAGAGUCAUUGGCAGUUGGCACUGCCGGCGCGGCGGCGGUGGCUACACACUGACCGGAGAAGUCGACUCCGGUACGGGCGCGCGGCCACCACCUCGAGGAGAGCCGAAUUCCUCGGGUGCUGGAGCGCCCUUACUUUCAGUUGCGCUCGGCAAGCCACGUGCCUUGGAGUGCGGUGGCGCCGGUGCCGUCGCCGCUCCAUCGCCGUCCGCACGCGCGGCCCGUGGCUACAUCUUCAAUCGGCGACGAACAGCAUCCCCGAACGAACUAUGGCCACGGGCGCCAAGUGUGGGGCGGUGCGUGAACCUGGCGGAAGCAAUGCCCGGACGCGACCUCGCCGGUACCGAUGCCGCCGCCGGCGGAAUAUUUUCAGGAAGACCCCUGGAUCGCGAUUAAAAUUUACACAUAACCCCCUAAUUCGGAUCGCGAUCAAUACUUGUGAUCCGAUUAUUUGCAAUUAGAACCCUAGAUUUUGCAUAUAGCUCCCUGGUUGGGUUCCUCUGCUUACGGCUUACCACCGUCUUCCCCGGCGGAAUCGAGUAGCCCCGUCGCCCCGUCCCGGCUACCAGUCCCUCGCUCAAGCCCGCGCCGGAGCUGCGGCCUUGCGGGCAGGUCGAAAAAACGGCGGCGAGCGUCCGCCGGCCGACGGCGCGGGAGACCUCCGCUUCAUCGUUCAAGCUCGCCCGAUCAGUAGGCUCGGACAGGGAGACUGGCCGGCCGGCUGUCUUCGGCAGAUGUGCGCGGUGGCUGCCGGCUCGAACCACGUCGCCGUCUUCGCCGCCGGCGCCCACCUGCCUCCUGCUCCAGGUUUGCAACUAAUAACGCAGGUCCCAGCGAACGAUGGAUCAGAGAGCAUGUUUUGCCGCAUGUUCAUGGUUCAGAGUUGAGAGACUGCAGUAGCAUUGCAGCAUCAGACAACUCCUAAUUUCAGUGGAAAUUAAUUUAAAAAUCAAACCUCCUCUGCGUAUGGAAGUUCAUCGUUACUCUGUUUCAGAGUUGAGAUUAGCCAUGCAUUCAAGCAUCAGGCGCUCCUAUUUUCAGUAGUAGAAGUUAAAUUAGAUUCAAACCAUGUUUAUUGCUGCCGUUUGUGUUGAGAUCGAUGAUGGAUCUUUGUGCCUGAAUCUACAGACUUAUGCUGGAAGGAACAGACUGUUACUUUGCAAUUUCCUCUGCCUAUAUGAAAGUUACUGAACCGAAUGCGAUUAACAGCUUGCGAAAACGAAGUGAAUUCAUGCACAAUCUACGUAUCUAUUGUUUGGAGAGACAAGUAUUGCACUGAUCUUUUUACCUGCCGAUGUUUACUGCUAAAGGCUAUUCAGUGGAUGUUCUUGCCCAUCAAGUACUCCUGACACUGCAGCUGAACAGCGAGCACUGCAGCAAACUCCGUGUUCGACGACGCGAUGCCACGCUGUGCGGGGGAACUCCGGGUCUCCGGCGCCUACGCCACGCUCGCACGGCAGCCGCGCCACGUUCUGCUCUCUCGGGGGAAAGGCCGGCCUGCCCGGUAGUGCACCGGCGGCGGAGCCGUCGCCGCGCCACCGCCGCCCGCGGACGCGGCCGAGCGUGGGGCCGGGGGCUACAUCAGAUGAUCACUGCCGUUUGCGUUGAGGCUGAUGAUGGAUCUUGUGCCUGAAUCUACAGAUGUAGUGCUGCGAGUACAUCAGGCCAGGAACCUUCAGAUUUCAGGGAUCGGUAAGACAAAUUGCAGAAACUGACAGCGGGUAGUAAGACAAAUUGCAGAAACAGAUUUGUUAUACCUCUGAACUUUUUGUUUUUUCAUUUUGCGUACACGCACUCUGCGGUUCAGUUAAACGGCAACUACAUAUGCAGAGCACUAGAGCUACGCUAGUGUUAGUUGGAGUGUCAUUCAAGAAGGCACUUGGCCGCAAAUUGAGGUGAGCAUGGCUCGGCCUUUUUUUCUUCCAUUCCAAAGUGAUGUCAUCAAAACAAUAACGUGUGAUGUUCUUUGGCAAAAAAAAAAGGAAAGGAUUCACGUGACAGUUUGAAAAAGGCAGCGAUUCGGCAUAAUCCGGUAUGCAAAUUCAAAUUGCCAAUUGGUUUGAAGCGCGGGGACCAGUACGGACUUUUAAAUAGUGAAAACAAAGAGCAAAUUUGAAUAUGAACCUAGACUUCAAGGCUGAGGCCGGCCGGCCGCCGGCAGGCGUGCUCAUGCACAUUCCUGAUCGUUGGUCCUUCGCCAGGCAAAGCAGCGAACACGGAACACCUGGUGCCCGACCGCCGGCGAGAAGCCUAACGAGGCAGCAAGCGAGCGAAGACGAUGCCAUUGAGGUCAGCCGUGUGUCGCGUGUGUACCUUCCCUGUGCGGACGCGCUGCGCGCGGCCAUGGAGGCGAGUGCGUGGCGAAGACGAAGGCGAACGUUAUCCCGGCGUGCGCGCGCCACCUGGGUCACGUGGCGUCACGGCGGCGCACGCGAGCAGGGGGUUAGGUGAUGGCGCGUGGCACCACAGCGCGCACAGGUUAGAUGCGCGCGUCGACGGGCGACACCGGGUACAGCCGCAUGGACUCUGCGAUGGCGUCGUGGAGGUCGUAGCGCAUGUCGCGCAUCGGCGUAUGCGAUGCAUGCAGCCGGUCCAAUCUGAACGGAGACGCGUCCUCUCGUCGCUCGCGGCGAAGCUCGCAGGACGCAGGAAGUCGACGCUUACUGGCAGGCCGGCGCGGCGGCGCUCCGGCGAGCCACGGCAUGCAGCGGAGGUGGCGUCGACGACCAGGGUCCAGGGGACGGGUGGACGGUAUUUCAAAUACCGUCCGCCCCCUGGGUCACUUUACGCCGUUGGAUCGAGCACGUGCGGUCCGGAUCGGGCGAGGUCUGCACAGGCAGGGGCACGGUCGUCCUGGUUAGUCGUCAGGCAGGCGCGAUGCUGGAGGCCGGACGGGGACGGCGGCGGCACGGCGGGUGUGCUCGGGCUCGGCGGCGAGUGACCGCCGGUCGACGACGCGGCGAGACCUUGCCGGCCGCUUCAUCGUUUGAGAGAAGCUGGCCCGAUCAGGUCUGGGCAAAGCGUGUCCAUGGCCCCGGGCACGGAGAUGGCCAGCCAGCCGGCUUCGCCAGAUUGCCGCACGCGGCCGCCGUCUCGAACCACGUCGCCGUUUUCGCCGGCGGCGACCUGCCUCCUUGUCCAAGCUUGCAACGCAGGGUCCAGGGCGAUGGAUCAGAGAAUGUGGCUGCCUGACAGACAGCAGCAAAGACAGAGUGUUUUGCAUGUACGUAGUUCAGAGUUUGGGAUUGGCUGCACUGCAGCAUCAGACACUUCAAAUUUCAGUAAAAGCUAUAUUAAGCCAUACUUAUCGCUACCUUUUUGUGUUGAGGCCGAUGAUGGAUCAUCUUUGUGCCUGAAUCCACAGUUGUAGUACCAGGGCAGGAUGUCAAAACUUGCUGCGAGAAAUACAGUCCAGGAACACAGAGCCUUCAGAUUUGAGAUCAUAGACUGUUAACACAAAUCAGAGCAACUGACAGUGGGUGGUAACAUCUCAAGAAAAGACAGUAAAAUACCAUGUGCUCGCAGCCUCGCACUAGUGCAGCAGGAGAUGGCGGAAUUUGCGAAUUUGCAGGACUUGGUCCAAACUGUCGAGCUAAAUGAUCAGGAAGAUGACAGGAUAUUUUGGAAAUGGACGACAAAUGGAAAAUACACGUCCAAAUCAGCAUAUCAUGCACAGCUGAAAGGAAUGUACUGUUCAUUUUCCAGCAAUAGCAUUUGGACUGCACAUGUGGAAUAUAAACACAGGAGAAAGGGUAUUAACAGCGGACAAGAUGAUGCAAAAAACUGGGAGUGUGAACCAACAUGCAAGCUUUGUGACCAAGAAAACGAAACGGCUCUGCACUUGUGCCUCCUAUGGAUGUUGGUGUCCAACUGGACGGGAAGGAAGGUUCCCAUUCCUGGAGAUGGGUAUGAAUCAACCGAGCAAUGGUGGACACAAACAAUGGCCAAUAUCAGUAGGAAGCAGCGGAGAUCAUUGGCGGCCUACUGCAUCAUAACGGCAUGGAAUAUAUGGAAUGAGCGCAACAGGAGGAUCUUUGAAAAUAAAUUCCUAUCGCCUAUGCAGCUGCUUCUUCGCAUUCAGGAGGACAUAAACAUCAGGAAGCAAGCGUGCGGGAAGCCUGGGCUGGAAUAGAGUCUCUUUAGUUUUUUUUCAUGAAUGAGUCAUUUGAGCCUGUAUCUUUUUUAUGUAUCAUCGACUUAACUGUAACCGCAAACUUCUACCUCCUUAUAUGAAUUAGCAGCACUCCUGCUCCUUUUCAAAAAAAAAUUCGUUUUCCAUUUUGUGUACAGUCAUGAGUUAAACGGCAACUGCAACUGUGUGCAAGCAAUUGCAUGUGCAGAGGUAAGGCAGUGUUAGUUGGGAGUGCCAUUCAAGAAGACAUUAGGCACUCUUCGUGUUGGUCUUUGGUAAAAAGAAACAGAUUCUAGAUCCACAUGGCAGUUUGGAAAUUAAGCAACUCGGCUCGGUACACAAAAUUAACCAAUUUAGGAUCCAGAAAAGGUUCAAAUAAACACAUUGCCCAUCGAUUCGAAGCACGGAACAUGUACGGUCAUCGGGCUGUUUCUGUCACAUUUCGGAUAGUAAUAAAGAAAAAAAAGAGCAAAAUUGCAAUAUGAACCUAGACUUCUGUUAUUUCAUUCUAAGGUAGGUUGAGGGAGGUUACAAACGUCAGUCAGCUAGUAGGUUGACCAAGAGGAAAGGCAGUGUGCUGGAAGAUUGAAUUUAACAUGGCAGCAGCUUUACCAAAUUCCAAAUAUUUUUUGUUUCUCCUUGCUCAUUCAAGGUUUUUUUUUGUUUCUCCCUUGCUCAUUCAAGCUCAAAUUCUAAAAGUAUAUACACGAUUUUACGCCCUAUCCAUUUAUAUUUUGGUUGGAAAUUUGGAUGCAAACGGGCUGGUAACACCGGAGGCGUUCACGUUUUGCAAACUGUAACGUUGGGCUUGGGCCUAGCUUUGAGUCCUUCCAAGUUACGUGGGUUAGACCCGCUUACGCUUUCUCUGGGCUCACUUGUACACAUUUCCCUGGCCUGGGCUCUGUUUCUUAUACAGGAGGUGAAUUGACUGAUCUCCUCCAAUGUUGUUGUCACGAGGAUACAAAUGCGAGCGGUUGUUUGGUUUCCCGGAAAUUUGCGACAGCGGAUUUAUAUUUGUUGAUGCGCAUAUGCAUGCCAUCCUGAGAUCACGAGGAAGGAUGACAGGGCCGGCGACACUCUCUCUUCUCUGACCAGAGAACUUGUGAGGUGAGCAAGCAGAUCCGUUGGUAGACCCGAUGCCGGCCGACCAAAGUGGCCUCCCGCUGCACGAAGGGCUGACGUCAAGUACAUGCCGCCCAUGGCCUUCCCGCUGUACCAAAGGGCUGACGACCCCAGGCCUGGUCCUUGCUUGCUCUGGCCGAUGAAUCCGCUGCCGAUCUUGUUUGUCUGAAUCUUGACAGCGAUGCACCGGCGAGAGUGGUCAGUGGUCACAGCGUGAGCAGCCAACCCUCGUCUCAGCCAUACGAAUUCCUGCCCCACCUAUCCAUCCAUCAAGUUAUCAGGAUCGGCCUGAAUGUUGUUGCUACAGUCCCAGUGGCUUUUCUCCUUUUUUGAUUCUCUAGUGAUGGAGCCUCAGAUUUGCGUGUGCUACCCUGUAUCACUUUGUCUGAAUGGACAGGCGGCAACCUCCGCGACACUACAGUUUACAGCACGUGUCGUGUUUUUUUUUUUGGAACUAGCUUCUUCAUUCAUUCAGAAUCCAGAUUACAAUCCUCUUGUUCUUGUAGAGGUCGCAACAAGAAGCUAGGGGGUUCUCUAUCCAAACUUCAGUACUAGUAGAACUAGCAUGCUUAGCACAAACAUGGGCGACAACAUUAGACGAUGAACCAUAUUAAAAGAGGUAAAAGACGUCACGACUUCCUGAAUCUCACGCAAAAUCGUUGCAAUCUCCGAUCUGUGGUUGUGUUCGGCCAGUCCUCCAGCUCUGAAGAAAACUGGGGGCAACCACCACGGAAUGCUGGAACUGCAGGUAAAGUGCGGGCUAGUUGAGUACCCUGCGGUACGAGUGAACUGUGAAGCACGAAAGAUUCUCCAGCUUCAUAUCAUAACAGUCACGCCGUCCAACCACCUGGCGAGAAUCAGAACCACAAUGCCACACAGCAAAUCACAACCAACCAGAUCAGGCAUCUCAUUCUUUCCAACUAACCACCAGUAGGGAACCAGCAAAACGAUGAGCCGCGAAGAUGCUUUGCUCUCUGCCAGCAAUCUGUCGACCGCUUAAGGGCCAGAAGAGCUAACUGAAGCACGUAAAAGGACCGACAAAAAAUGCAGGAAAAAAAAUCAGUGACUCAGUUCGCAAAAAAUGAGAAUUGCAGUAGACUGCAGCAAGGAACACAGAAGCGGGACAAAACAUGAAACUAUUAUUUCCAAAGACGCAAAGCUCAUCUAUGCAACCAAACCGACUAAACACAGCAAAAUUACAACCGAACCGUUCAUAUUCUUCACAACCAGAAACUAAACUCAGGUCCCAUAUUAGCAACUUCGUUACAUGAAGGUAGCAAGCAGGUAGGAAAAGCAAAAGGCAACUCAUGUCCCAACUUAGCAUGAAUCCUGGCGUCCGGAGGCACACCAUUUCACAUUUUAUUCUCUGCAUAGACAAGCAGCGGGGCCGUUCCACGACCGCAAAGGCCUAGGGAAGGAACCAUGGAGCGGAGAUGACGCUCUACUGGGUCUUGAACAUGUGGCGGAUCAGGUCGACAACACGGUUGCUGUAGCCCCACUCGUUGUCGUACCAGGAGACAAGCUUGACGAAGUUGUCGUUCAGAGCAAUUCCA